AGCAGCCGCGGUAAUUCCAGCUCCAAUAACGUAUAUUAAAGUUGUUGCAGUUAAAAAGCUCGUAGUUGAAUUUCGGGAUCAAUACGUCGGUCGUGCUUAGGUACGUACUGGCGUAAUUGAUUUCUCCUUUCUGACGAACCAUGAUGUCAUUAACUUGGUGUCAUGGGAAAUCAGGACUGUUACUUUGAAAAAAUUAGAGUGUUUAAAGCAGGCUCACGCUUGAAUACAUUAGCAUGGAAUAAUGAAAUAGGACGUUCGAUCCUAUUUUGUUGGUUUUAGGAUCAACGUAAUGAUUAAUAGGGAUAGUUGGGGGCAUUAGUAUUCAAUUGUCAGAGGUGAAAUUCUUGGAUUUAUUGAAGACUAACUACUGCGAAAGCAUUUGCCAAGGAUGUUUUCAUUAAUCAAGAACGAAAGUUAGGGGAUCGAAGACGAUCAGAUACCGUCGUAGUCUUAACCAUAAACUAUGCCGACUAGGGAUCGGAUGAUGUUAAUUUUUUAAUGACUCAUUCGGCGCCUUAAC
rnacentral:rRNA from 1 species